rnacentral:lncRNA from 1 species
CUGGUGAAUUUCUCAGCGUUAGAAUAAUACUUGCGCCUAGCAUGGUGCGCACGCAUCGCAGACUGGACCCUAGUAACUGCAUCCUCCCAUUCUAAAUCUUCUUCCACGUCAUCAUCAGCGUUGCUAAGCAACUGAAUUCGUCGACGUCGAAUGGCGUGAGCACGGAGCGCGGACUGAAUUUGAACUAUCUCGUCAUCACGUGGCG